rnacentral:rRNA from 1 species
AUUGAACGCUGGCGGCAGGCUUAACACAUGCAAGUCGAGCGGAGAGAGGUAGCUUGCUACUGAUCUUAGCGGCGGACGGGUGAGUAAUGCUUAGGAAUCUGCCUAUUAGUGGGGGAUAACAUUUCGAACGGAAUGCUAAUAACGCAUACGUCCUACGGGAGAAAGCAGGGGAUCUUCGGACCUUGCACUAAUAGAUGAGCCUAAGUCGGAUUAGCUAGUUGGUGGGGUAAAGGCCUACCAAGGCGACGAUCUGUAGCGGGUCUGCGAGGAUGAUACGCCACACUGGGACUGAGACACGGCCCAGACUCCUACGGGAGGCAGCAGUGGGGAAUAUUGGACAAUGGGCGCAAGCCUGAUCCAGCCAUGCCGCGUGUGUGAAGAAGGCCUUAUGGUUGUAAAGCACUUUAAGCGAGGAGGAGGCUACUUUAGUUAAUACCUAGAGAUAGUGGACGUUACUCGCAGAAUAAGCACCGGCUAACUCUGUGCCAGCCGCCGCCGUAA